rnacentral:tRNA from 1 species
GGAGGUGACAGGGGUCCGGUGGCCCCCGCGGUCUUCAAAACCGUUUGCGUCGCGCUUGGCGUGAUGGGUGGGUUCGACUCCCAUUCGCCUCCGCCA